UACGUAGGGUGCGAGCGUUAAUCGGAAUUACUGGGCGUAAAGUGUGCGCAGGCGGCAAAGCAGGUCGAGUGUGAAAGCCCCGGGCUUAACUUGGGAAUUGCGCUCGAAACUACUUUGCUGGAGUGUGGCAGAGGAAGGUGGAAUUCCACGUGUAGCGGUGAAAUGCGUAGAGAUGUGGAGGAACACCAAUGGCGAAGGCAGCCUUCUGGGCCAACACUGACGCUCAUGCACGAAAGCGUGGGGAGCAAACAGG
rnacentral:rRNA from 1 species